rnacentral:lncRNA from 1 species
GGAGUUAAAUAUAUUCUGUGCUGGCAACAGUACCUGUAAUGGAUGCAGACAGGUGUCAAUGAAACACAACACGUGGAGACUAUUUUUUGUUAUUAAGGAUUAAAAUAAAAAAAACAAACUUGUGGGUUAAGAUUAACUUAGGGUAAAAUGGGAAAGUACAUUAANUUUAAGUUUAUAAAAACAUGUGCGUUAAAGGGUGUUCGUUCUUCUUCAAAGGAUGAUGAGCUGAAGCUGAUAAAGGUGGUUCUUCGAAGGGUGGUGGUCCUUGCAUUUUGCGAAAUCAAGGUUGGGUCUGGUGGGGAUCAAGUCU